UUCUCCCGCCCCAAAUACAAACAGAGGUGAGGGACGAUAAGCCAGUUUUUGAGAAGAGGCAUCUGGUGGAGGAGGAGGACAUGUAGAUGCACUCCAAGUUCCUGGACAGAAAGAGCAUGCCUCAUACCUGCGGCUGGCAGCUCCGCGCCAUGAUCCCUGACUUUUGGCAGUUCCUGUUACUACAUAAACCAAGCAAUGUCUUCAUGGUCGCCCGUGAGGACUUCUCUCCCUUCCGCCCCCGCCAAACACCUUCAACACCUCCUCAGCGUGAGGACACACACCUUCAACACCUCCUCACCGUGAGGACACACACCUUCAACACCUCACCUAACAGGUACUGCAAGAAGUCGGCCAUCAUGGCGAGGAGGUCCGGGUUCUACUGCAGGAACUUGGAGUGCAUCUACAUGUCCUCCUCCCUCACCAGAUGCCUCUUCUCAAAAACUGGCCUAUCGUCCCUCACCUCUGACACACAACAAACAUACACACGGACAUGUAAAUAGGGGACCAUUCCUAAUAGUGUGUGUGUUUGUGUGUGUAUCUGUGUAUGUGUGUACCUGUUUGUAUUUGGGGCGGGAGAAGCAGGAGCCUCAUGUUGACGGAAGAGCACACCUGCAUUUGGCUGGCCCUAAACAGGAACAGGAUAUGACAUCACACAGGGAGAAAGAGAUGGCAGGAGCAGUGGUGCCCUAUAUGUCCUGGGUGUCUCUGGUGUAGGCCAGGUUACUGUAAAAGCACUAUUUAACAAGGCAAGUCAGUUAAGAACAAAUUCUUAUUUACAAUGACAACCUACACUGGCCAAACCUGGACGACGCUGGGACAAUUGUGUGCCGCCCUAUGGGACUCCCAAUCACGGCCGGUUGUGAUACAAACUGGAUGUAACUGCUGAUGUAAAAU
ensembl:lncRNA